AUGCAGAUGGCAGAUUGCUACACGUCUUCUCCGGCACCAGCAACCUCGCCACCGUCCUCGGCGCCUUUGUCAGCGACACGUCGCGGCAUUGCCAGCUUCUUCAACUGGUACUACUUCACUUUCACCAUAGCCAUCAUGCUCUCUGCCACCGUCAUCAUCUACCUCCAGAGCAACGUCAACUGGGCGCUGGGGCUCGCCGUUCCCGCUGUGCUCAUGGGCAUCUCAUGUGUCGUCUUCUUCAUGGGCACCCGCCUCUACGUUCGUGUCCGCCCUGAGGGCAGCCCCUUGACUAGCUUUGCACAGGUCCUCGUCGCCGCCGCCCGCAAGCGCCACCUCCGGCGAGCUCGUAGCGUCGCCGAGCUGUUCGACCCACCGCACCGGAGCAAGCUUGUCUCCAAGCUGGCCUACACCGACCAGUUCACAUGCCUCGACAAGGCGGCCAUGCGGACCCCUGAGGACGCGCUCUGCUCUGACGAGAAGACGCCAGUGAACCAAUGGAGGUUGUGCACGAUACAACAGGUGGAGGAGGUGAAGUGCUUAGCGCGCAUCAUCCUGGUGUGGUCGUCGGGCAUCGUCUACUUCGUGGUGCUCACCCAGCUUGGCACCUACGUCGUGCUCCAAGCAGCACAAACCGAUCGCCGGAUCAGCAGCGCCAGCAGCUUCGAGAUCCCGCAAGGCUCCUUCAUCGUCUUCUCCAUGCUCUCCCUCACGCUGUGGAUACCAGUGUACGACCGGCUGGUGGUGCCGGCGCUCCGCCGCUUCACCCAGCACGAGGGCGGCAUCACCCUGCUCCAGCGCAUCGGCGUCGGGCUGGCGCUCUCCGUCGCGACGAUGCUGGUGUCGGCGGCCGUGGAGCACCGACGACGGCGCUGGACCGCCAUGACGUCGUGCUUCUGGCUGGUGCCGCAGCUGCUGCUGGCGGGCUUGUCGGAGGCGUUCGGCGGCAUCGGGCAGCUCGAGUUCUUCUACCGGCAGUUCCCGGAGAACAUGCGGAGCGUGGCGGGGGCGCUCUACUGCCUCGGGUUCGCCCUCGCGAGCUACGCGAGCGGGGUCAUGGUGACGGUGGUGCACGGGCGACGAGGGGGCGGGACGGGGAGCCCGACUGGCUGGCGCAGGACCUGGACCAGGGGAGGGUCGACCUGUUCUACCUUGUCACCGCUGCUAUCGCGGCCGUCAACCUCGUAUACUUCGUUGUCUGCGCGCGGUGGUACAGGUCCAAGGAGUCCGACGACAACGACGACGACAGCGACGGCUCCCAUGCCGGCGAUGACGUCGAGCUCGUCGAAGGAAGACCGCAGAAGUCCGCGAGUUCGGCGUCGGUUUAGCUUAGUUAUUAUAGGCCGUGAUGCAUGGAUUGGUAGAUUAUGA
rnacentral:rRNA from 1 species